AAGUUAAAUACUAAAAUUAAAUAAUUAAGAAAACCACAUCAGUUGACCCAGCACUGAACCCAUAUUAAACUGGGUGCCAUUAUUAAAUUGAAUGAAAUAUUGAACGCUUGUUAUUUAAUACCAUUUAUUUGAAUACUGUAUUGCCAUAGUUUGAUUAUUACAUAAUUGUAGUGACAGUGUUGCCAUCCAUAAUACACCUUAAUAUUACAUAAUUGAAGUGACACUGUUGCCAUAAUACACCUUAAUACCAAUAAAGGAAAUAUUAACAUAAGGUUUAUAUAACUAUAAUACGAUGUUAAAACUUAAUAAAAAGGAGGUAAUAAUGUUAUCAUCAAAUACUUAGUUUCUAGCCGACUUGAGGGCACUGAACUCGAUUCCAAAAAGUCGAGUUUUUUUCAGCAACAAGUCGGUUUUUGAUUAAUGUUAGAGUCAAAUUUUCCAUCCCUAUUAUCCUCUUCUAAUUUAAGCAAGUGGAGUAAGCGCGUUAGCAAAAAAGCAAAAAAAAUUAGUAAUUUCUUAUUGACUUAACAUUUAACACUUUAAAAAUUAUCUGAAUUCCUCAUUUCAUGCUUUCAUUAAAAUCAAAUGCAUCUCUAAUGGCAUUUCUUUUUCUACAAAAAAAAAAAAAAAUGCUGUCUUUUUCAUUUCCGUCUCGAUAGUAUUUGUGCGUAGAGAGCACUGAGAAUGCACAAUUUUACGGUAGAAUAGAAAAGCCUUAAGACUUAAAAUGUGUAGACAAUGUAAUACGCCC